rnacentral:lncRNA from 1 species
AAUAAACAAAAUCGGGGUAACAAACUAAAACUGAGGGAAACGCAUAAGAUAUAAGAGGAGAACAACGACACAACACUACAAUGUAACACACACAGAAACGGACCAAGCAUCAGACAUUUGUUAAUAUAGAGUUCACUAUAGCGUAAGGCCAACUUUAAAAAAUGCAUAAGACGUCCGUAACUUUUUGAUCGAAACUAAGCAGACUGUCCGUAACUUUAUUUUCAGAUGUGGGUAACUUUUGAUUUAAAAUUUUAAGAAUUAUAAUUUCAACAAUUAGAAGACAAUUAACAUCAUAUUUGUAACAUUCACGGCCGUUUAUACUACUCAUUCACCACCAAAUGUGAUUUUAUUAACGCAUCAUACUUACAUCACAGACGUUCUAUGUGGGGUUUGUGGUACUCGAUCCUGGUUAUGGUUUGAACUUUUAUUAACUGAUGUGCGUCUUAUCGACGUUUUCGAUUCGCACCAUGGCUUUGUCAUACUCUUUAAAUUUUUUAGUUUAAUUAUCUGUUUGCGGUUUAUUUUCACCUCUGUUUCUUUUUAUGUGUAUUUUGAUGAAUACUCUUUGACGCGGCUCGGUAUUUAUACAUCCCACCAGUAAGUUAUAGUGUUAUGUUUUUUUAAUACGUUUCCUAGUAAGUUUUUUUUUUUUUCAUUUCUCUUUGUAUGUUAUCAG